rnacentral:rRNA from 1 species
UACAGAGGAGCCAAGCGUUGUCCGGAUUGACUGGGCGUAAAGGCGCACGCAGGCGGAUGCGCGCGUGGGGUGGUGAAAUCUGGCCGCUUAACGGCCAGGCGCCAUCCCAUACGGCGCGUCGGAGUGAUGCGAGGUCGGUGGAAUUGCCGGUGUAGUGGUGAAAUGCGUAGAGAGUCGGCAGGAACACCCGGGGGAAACCAGC